rnacentral:rRNA from 1 species
UGAUCGGCCACACUGGGAUUGAGACACGGCCCAGAUUCUUACGGGAGGCAGCAGUAGGGAAUCUUCCACAAUGGACGAAAGUCUGAUGGAGCAACGCCGCGUGAGCGAUGAAGGCCUUCGGGUCGUAAAGCUCUGUUGUUAGGGAAGAACAAGUGCGAGAGUAACUGCUCGCACCUUGACGGUACCUAACCAGAAAGCCACGGCUAACUACGUGCCAGCAGCCGCGGUAAUACGUAGGUGGCAAGCGUUGUCCGGAAUUAUUGGGCGUAAAGCGCGCGCAGGUGGUCCUUUAAGUCUGAUGUGAAAGCCCACGGCUCAACCGUGGAGGGUCAUUGGAAACUGGGGGACUUGAGUGCAGAAGAGGAAAGUGGUAUUCACAAGUGUAGCGGUGAAAUGCGUAGAGAUUUGGAGGAACACCAGUGGCGAAGGCGACUUUCUGGUCUGUAACUGACACUGAGGCGCGAAAGCGUGGGGAGCAAACAGGAUUAGAUACCCUGGUAGUCCACGCCGUAAACGAUGAGUGCUAAGUGUUAGAGGGUUUCCGCCCUUUAGUGCUGCAGCUAACGCAUUAAGCACUCCGCCUGGGGAGUACGGUCGCAAGACUGAAACUCAAAGGAAUUGACGGGGGCCCGCACAAGCGGUGGAGCAUGUGGUUUAAUUCGAAGCAACGCGAAGAACCUUACCAGGUCUUGACAUCCUCUGACACUCCUAGAGAUAGGACGUUCCCCUUCGGGGGACAGAGUGACAGGUGGUGCAUGGUUGUCGUCAGCUCGUGUCGUGAGAUGUUGGGUUAAGUCCCGCAACGAGCGCAACCCUUGAUCUUAGUUGCCAGCAUUCAGUUGGGCACUCUAAGGUGACUGCCGGUGACAAACCGGAGGAAGGUGGGGAUGACGUCAAAUCAUCAUGCCCCUUAUGACCUGGGCUACACACGUGCUACAAUGGACGGUACAAAGGGCAGCAAAACCGCGAGGUCGAGCCAAUCCCAUAAAACCGUUCUCAGUUCGGAUUGCAGGCUGCAACUCGCCUGCAUGAAGCCGGAAUCGCUAGUAAUCGCGG